UUUUAGAUAAGGUGCUAAUUGGGUUGGACAUGGGUUGCUUGAUGCAAGACAGUGGUCAUGGAAGUCGAAAUCCGCUAAGGAGUGUGUAAUAACUCACCUGCCGAAUUAACUAGCCCCGAAAAAUAGAUGGCGCUGAAGCGCGCGACCCAUACCCGGUCGUCGGGGCGAUUGCCAGGCCCUGAUG
rnacentral:ncRNA from 1 species